GACAGAGGCCCCAAGCGUUAGGCGGAAUCACUGGGCUUAAAGCGUGUGUAGGCGGAUCGUUAAGUGUCUUGUGAAAUCCCACGGCUCACCCGUGGAACUGCUGGGCAUACUGGCGAUCUUGGGCCAACUAGGGGCAGUCGGAACAAGCGGUGGAGCGGUGAAAUGCGUAGAUAUCGCUUGGAACGCCGACGGUGAAAACAGUCUGCUGGGGGUGUGCUGACGCUGAGACACGAAAGCCAGGGGAGCGAACGGG
rnacentral:rRNA from 1 species